rnacentral:rRNA from 1 species
UGGGGAAUAUUGGGCAAUGGGCGCAAGCCUGACCCAGCCAUGCCGCGUGAGUGAUGAAGGCCUUCGGGUCGUAAAGCUCUGUGGGGAGGGACGAACACGUUUCUGGCUAAUAUCCAGGGACUCUGACGGUACCUCCUUAGCAAGCACCGGCUAACUCCGUGCCAGCAGCCGCGGUAAUACGGAGGGUGCAAACGUUGCUCGGAAUCAUUGGGCGUAAAGCGCACGUAGGUGGCCUGUUAAGUCGGAUGUGAAAGCCCUGGGCUCAACCCAGGAAGUGCAUUCGAAACUGGCAGGCUUGAAUAUGGAAGAGGGUCGCGGAAUUCCCGGUGUAGAGGUGAAAUUCGUAGAUAUCGGGAGGAACACCAGUGGCGAAGGCGGCGACCUGGGCCAAUAUUGACACUGAGGUGCGAAAGCGUGGGGAGCAAACAGG